rnacentral:tRNA from 1 species
UCCCCUGUAGUUUAGUUGGUCAGAACACUAGAUUUGUAAUCUUGUGACCUCGGUUCGAAUCCGAGUGGGGGAU